ACCAUUUCCGUGAAAUUUUUUUAUUGGCCCAUAAGCUUCUUUUCAAUUCACUGAACAAACUUUCCUAAGGAACCCAUAUGUUUUGAAGCCUCUGACUAUUGGAAAACAAUGAAAAACUUGCGGCUCGCCGUUUUACCCCAUGGUCUCCAAAAAAAUAUUUCAUGCUGAUUUCUCUCUCGACCCCCUGUUCCCCCAUGGUUUUUCAACACGUCGUGGUGAAUUUUUGAUCAGCUGGCCUAACAGCUGACUGACAGAUAUAAUUGUUUUUGUUUAUGUUUUCAUAACAUGUUUUCAUAUAUCGGAAUCGGAAAGAUCCUCCGUCGUCUUAAUUCUGGCCGUCAAAAGUUCCGUCUCCAUCACCGAAACCGGAUUCUCUCGGCCUUAUGUGUUUUUCAUGCCGUGUGAAGUGCGCUUUGGCUAGUUUUCGUAAAAUAUAUAGUGAAAUUUCCAGAAAAAACGUCGAACAACAAACGUAAAAGUUGAAAUCUGAAUGGAUUUCGAUCCCAAGGCCGUGCUGGUGGAUGAGGACGAGAUUUCUACUAGUAGACUGCGGAAUAUAAUCGAUCGGCAACAACGCUCAGGAGCGCAAAACAGCAACGUCAGAGGAUCUGCGCAAAAUGACGAGUCGGACCCAAUUGGGGUUAUUCCGGCACCAAGCACACAGCCGGAGGUGGCGCCUACAUUAUCAGCAAAAUCUUCAAAGCCACAAAAAACAGUUACUACAAAUACGUCAAGAAUGGUGAAUCGGACAAAGACGUCGGACGAUCGCCUUUUACCGGUAUGUCCUCCUAGACGGUGCGGAACGUGACCGAUAGAAUGACAAACUUUUCCGUGGUCAGCGUGAAAACUGUGAACAAGCUUAUCUGUAGCUGCAACGCAUCGCAAAUUUUGAGGAGCUCGACGAUUAUGUUGGCUUCGGUCGUGUUCCAGAUGGAACUCACCUAGGAGAUGCAGAAGUCGCAACAGAAAUAACUGAUGCUGGACUGUUGAUGGUAGUGGCCAGAGGUAUACCACCUAUGUUUCCGCUAGUGACGAGAUAAUCAUCCUCUUUUCUAGAUUAAGAGUUCAGUUCAGUUCAGUUGGCUUUGAAAAUCGAUUGGUACGUCUUUCAAAUUAA